GGGCAGGUGGCGGAGCGGUCAAUCGCAUCAGACUGUAAAUCUGACGACCUUGUGUCUACGGGAGUUCAAAUCUCUCCCUGCCCACCA
rnacentral:tRNA from 1 species